UUUGAUCCUCGGCUCAGGACGAACGCUGGCGGCGCGCUUAACACAUGCAAGUCGAGCGAUGAAAUCUUAACAGAACCCUUCGGGGCGAAGAUAAGACGGAUUAGCGGCGGACGGGUGAGUAACACGUGAGUAACCUGCCUUUNACANNGGGAUAGCCUCGGGAAACCGGGAUUAAUACCGAAUAAAAUCACAGAUACACAUGUAUCCAUGAUCAAAACUCCGGUGGUCUAAGAUGGACUCGCGUCCCAUUAGCUAGUUGGUGAGGUAACGGCCCACCAAGGCGACGAUGGGUAGCCGGCCUGAGAGGGUGAACGGCCACAUUGGAACUGAGAAACGGUCCAAACUCCUACGGGAGGCAGCAGUGGGGAAUAUUGCACAAUGGAGGGAACUCUGAUGCAGCGACGCCGCGUGAACGAAGAAGGCUUUCGAGUCGUAAAGUUCUUUUAUANGNGAAGAUAAUGACGGUANCNUNAGAANAAGCCCCGGCUAACUACGUGCCAGCCGCCGCGGUA
rnacentral:rRNA from 1 species